rnacentral:rRNA from 1 species
UCCCCUUCGGGGGUGAUGCUUGUGGAAUGAGCGGCGGACGGGUGAGUAACACGUGGGCAACCUGCCUGUAAGAUCGGAAUAACUCCGGGAAACCGGGGCUAAUGCCGGGUAAUCCUUUUUCUCGCAUGGGAGAGAGGUAAAAGAUGGCCUUUGGCUAUCACUUACAGAUGGGCCCGCGACGCAUUAGCUAGUUGGUGAGGUAAUAGCUCACCAAGGSGACGAUGCKUASCCGACCUGAGAGGGUGAUCGGCCACACUGGGACUGAGACACGGCCCCAGAYUCCUACGGGAAGGCARCCAGUAGGGAAUCUUUCCGCAAUGGACGAAAGUCUGACGGAGCAACGCCGCGUGAACGAUGAAGGUCUUCGGAUCGUAAAGUUCUGUUGUUAGGGAAGAACAAGUACCGUGCGAAUAGAGCGGUACCUUGACGGUACCUAACGAGGAAGCCCCGGCUAACUACGUGCCAGCAGCCGCGGUAAUACGUAGGGGGCAAGCGUUGUCCGGAAUUAUUGGGCGUAAAGCGCGCGCAGGCGGUUUCUUAAGUCUGAUGUGAAAGCCCACGGCUCAACCGUGGAGGGUCAUUGGAAACUGGGGAACUUGAGGACAGAAGAGGAGAGUGGAAUUCCACGUGUAGCGGUGAAAUGCGUAGAUAUGUGGAGGAACACCAGUGGCGAAGGCGACUCUCUGGUCUGUUUCUGACGCUGAGGUGCGAAAGCGUGGGUAGCAAACAGGAUUAGAUACCCUGGUAGUCCACGCCGUAAACGAUGAGUGCUAGGUGUUAGGGGGCUUCCACCCCUUAGUGCUGAAGUUAACGCAUUAAGCACUCCGCCUGGGGAGUACGGCCGCAAGGCUGAAACUCAAAGGAAUUGACGGGGGCCCGCACAAGCGGUGGAGCAUGUGGUUUAAUUCGAAGCAACGCGAAGAACCUUACCAGGUCUUGACAUCCUUGGACCGCCCUAGAGAUAGGGUCUUCCCUUCGGGGACCAAGUGACAGGUGGUGCAUGGUUGUCGUCAGCUCGUGUCGUGAGAUGUUGGGUUAAGUCCCGCAACGAGCGCAACCCCUAAUCUUAGUUGCCAGCAUUCAGUUGGGCACUCUAAGGUGACUGCCGGUGACAAACCGGAGGAAGGCGGGGAUGACGUCAAAUCAUCAUGCCCCUUAUGACCU